GCGGGUAUGGCGGAAUUGGUAGACGUGCAGGAUUUAGGUUCCUGUGGAGCAGUCCGUGUGGGUUCGAGUCCCACUGCCCGCACCA
rnacentral:tRNA from 4 species